UACGUAGGGUGCAAGCGUUGUCCGGAAUUAUUGGGCGUAAAGAGCUCGUAGGCGGUCUGUCGCGUCGGCUGUGAAAUCCCGGAGCUCAACUCCGGGUCUGCAGUCGAUACGGGCAAACUGGAGUACUGCAGGGGAGACUGGAAUUCCUGGUGUAGCGGUGAAAUGCGCAGAUAUCAGGAGGAACACCGGUGGCGAAGGCGGGUCUCUGGGCAGUAACUGACGCUGGGGAGCGAGAGCGUGGGGAGCGAACAGG
rnacentral:rRNA from 1 species